GUCUUUUUGAUAAUAAUUUAAAGUCUAAUCUGCCCACUGAUGAAUAAUUAAAGGGCUGCAGUAUAUUGACUGUACAAAGGUAGCAUAAUCAAUAGUCUUUUAAUUGAAGACUUGAAUGAACGAUUUGAUGAAAUAUAAACUGUCUCUUAUUUAAAUUUAGAAUUUAAUUUUUUAGUUAAAAAGCUAAAAUAAUUUUAAAAGACGAGAAGACCCUAUAGAGUUUUAUAUUUAAAUUAUUUAAUGUUUUAUAUAUAAGUUAUAGUAAAAAUUAAUUUAAAUAUUUUAUUGGGGUGAUAGAAAAAUUUAAAAAACUUUUUUUAUAUAAAAUCAUAAAUAAAUGAAAUAAUGAUCCAUAAUUAAUGAUUAAAAGAAAAAAUUACCUUAGGGAUAACAGCGUAAUUUUUUUUUUUAGUUCAAAUAAGAAAAAGAGAUUGCGACCUCGAUGUUGGAUUAAGAUAAAAUUUAAAUGCAAAAGUUUAAAAUUUUGAUCUGUUCGAUCAUUAAAAUCUU
rnacentral:rRNA from 1 species